CUACUGCAGGUGAAAUACUACACAUUUCAUGACAGGGACAUGGCCCCUGAGGGCCGCACUCUGGAAGAAUCCAAUAAAAACCUGGAUGAGAUUUCAGACUUGGCUUUGCAGCUCCAGAAGAAGACUGGGGUUAAAGUGCUUUGGAUCACCUGCAACCUGUUUGCUCAUCCCAGGUAUAUGAACGGAGCCUCCACUAACCCAGACUGCCAUGUUUUGGCCUAUGCUGGAGCUCAGGUGAAAAAGGGUCUCGACAUAGCCAAGAAGCUGGGGGCCGAAAACUUUGUGUUCUGGGGGGGCCGGGAGGGCUUUCUCUCCAUCCUCAACACAGACGUAGCGGCUGAACUGAAGCACAUGGCCAACUUCUUUAAAAUGGCAGUGGCUUAUAAAGAAAAGAUUGGCUUGAAAUGCCAGUUCCUCAUUGAGCCAAAGCCGAAGGAACCAUGCAAGCACCAGUACGACUACGAUGCGAUGAGUGUCAUCGGCUUUUUGAAGCACUUUGGAUUGGACAAAGACUUCAAGCUUAAUAUUGAGCCCAACCACACAACCCUGGCUGGACAUUCCUAUGAGCACGACAUCAUCAUGGCCUCUGUGUUUGGUAUGCUGGGCUCUGUGGACUCAAACACUGGGUCUCCUGAUCUGGGCUGGGACACAGAUCAGUUCCCCAUGGACAUCCGCAACACAACCCUAGUGAUGAAGGCUGUAAUCGAGCAGGGAGGCUUACAGCCCGGAGGUUUAAAUUUCGAUGCCAAGGUUCGAAGAGAGUCGACUGACCUGGAGGAUUUGUUCAUCGCUCACAUUGCUGCCAUGGAUGCUUUCGCUCGGGGUCUCAAAAAUGCAGUCAAGAUUAUUGAGGACGGAGUCAUGCAAAAAAUGCUACAGGUAAUUGUGAUAAUCUGAUUCUUUCAUUUCAGUUCUGUAUUUCUCAGCUUGUCCAGAAAUGCAUUUGUACAGCUGUACAUGAUUUGUAUUUAUUUCAGUAGAGUAAACCUGUAUUUACACUUCAAACCUUUAGGGUUUCACCCAUUCUCUAAUGUGGAGUGUUUUAGGUUAGUUAAGCUUGGGGUUACAUUUGCUUCUUUGUUUAUAUUUAAAGUUUUUUG
rnacentral:lncRNA from 1 species